rnacentral:rRNA from 1 species
GACGAACCGUGCGAACGUUAUUCGGAAUCACUGGGCUUAAAGGGUGCGUAGGCGGCGAGGAGGGUGGGGUGUGAAAUCCCUCGGCUUAACCGAGGAAUUGCGCUCCAAACCGCCUUGCUGGAGUGAGACAGAGGUGAGCGGAACUAAUGGUGGAGCGGUGAAAUGCGUUGAUAUCAUUAGGAACACCAGAGGCGAAGGCGGCUCACUGGGUCUCAACUGACGCUGAUGCACGAAAGCUAGGGUAGCGAACGGG